rnacentral:tRNA from 1 species
GUCAGUAUAGCUCAAAUGGUAGAGUACCUGUCUAGGAAACAAGAGAUCCUGGGUUGAAAUACCAGUACUAUCA